GUGAACGCUGGCGGUAGGCCUCACCCCUGCCCGUCGAACGGCAGCACAGUAAGAGCUUGCUCUUACGGGUGGCGAGUGGCGGACGGGUGAGGAAUACAUCGGAAUCUACUUUUUCGUGGGGGAUAACGUAGGGAAACUUACGCUAAUACCGCAUACGACCUACGGGUGAAAGCAGGGGAUCUUCGGACCUUGCGCGAUUGAAUGAGCCGAUGUCGGAUUAGCUAGUUGGCGGGGUAAAGGCCCACCAAGGCGACGAUCCGUAGCUGGUCUGAGAGGAUGAUCAGCCACACUGGAACUGAGACACGGUCCAGACUCCUACGGGAGGCAGCAGUGGGGAAUAUUGGACAAUGGGCGCAAGCCUGAUCCAGCCAUACCGCGUGGGUGAAGAAGGCCUUCGGGUUGUAAAGCCCUUUUGUUGGGAAAGAAAAGCAGCAGGUUAAUACCCCGCUGUUCUGACGGUACCCAAAGAAUAAGCACCGGCUAACUUCGUG
rnacentral:rRNA from 1 species